rnacentral:rRNA from 1 species
AACGAACGCUGGCGGCGCGCCUAAUACAUGCAAGUCGAGCGAGAAGACGUAGCAAUACGUUUGUAAAGCGGCGAACGGGUGAGGAAUGCAUGGGUAACCUACCCUCGAGUGGGGAAUAACUAGCCGAAAGGUUAGCUAAUACCGCGUACGCUCCUUGGACUUCGGUUCAGGGAGGAAAGCCGAUACCGUGGGUAUCGCGCUCUUGGAUGGGCUCAUGUCCUAUCAGCUUGUUGGUGAGGUAACGGCUCACCAAGGCUUCGACGGUAGCUGGUCUGAGAGGACGAUCAGCCACACUGGCACUGCGACACGGGUCCAGACUCCUACGGGAGGCAGCAGUAAGGAAUAUUGCGCAA